rnacentral:rRNA from 1 species
AUUGAACGCUGGCGGCAUGCUUUACACAUGCAAGUCGAACGGUAACAGGUUAAGCUGACGAGUGGCGAACGGGUGAGUAAUGCAUCGGAACGUGCCCGGUCGUGGGGGAUAACGCAGCGAAAGCUGCGCUAAUACCGCAUACGAUCUGAGGAUGAAAGCGGGGGACCGUAAGGCCUCGUGCGAUCGGAGCGGCCGGUGUCAGCUUAGGUAGUUGGUGGGGUAAAGGCUCACCAAGCCAACGAUCUUGAGCUUGUCUGGGAGGAUGACCAGCCCCACUGGGACUGAGACACGGCCCAGACUCCUACGGGAGGCAGCAGUGGGGAAGUUUGGACAAUGAGCGAAAGCCUGAUCCAGCAAUGCCACGUGCAGGAAGAAGGCCUUCGGGUUGUAAACUGCUUUUGUACGGAGCGAAAAGGUCUCCUCUAAUACAGGGGGCUCAUGACGGUACCGUAAGAAUAAGCACCGGCUAACUACGUGCCAGCCGCCGCGGUAA